rnacentral:rRNA from 1 species
UACGAAGGGGGCUAGCGUUGCUCGGAAUCACUGGGCGUAAAGGGUGCGUAGGCGGAUUUUUAAGUCGGAGGUGAAAGCCUGGGGCUCAACCCCAGAAUUGCCUUCGAUACUGAGAGUCUUGAGUUCGGAAGAGGUUGGUGGAACUGCGAGUGUAGAGGUGAAAUUCGUAGAUAUUCGCAAGAACACCGGUGGCGAAGGCGGCCAACUGGUCCGAUACUGACGCUGAGGCACGAAAGCGUGGGGAGCAAACAGG